UAGGGAAUCUUCGGCAAUGGGCGAAAGCCUGACCGAGCAACGCCGCGUGAAUGAUGAAGGCCUUCGGGUUGUAAAAUUCUGUUAUAAGGGAAGAACGGCUUUAGUAGGAAAUGGCUGGAGUGUGACGGUACCGUAAGAAAAAGCCACGGCUAACUACGUGCCAGCAGCCGCGGUAAUACGUAGGGGGCGAGCGUUAUCCGGAAUUAUUGGGCGUAAGGCGCGCGCAGGUGGUUGAGUAAGUCUGAUGUGAAAGCCCACGGCUUAACCGGGGAGGGGCAUUGGAAACUGGUUGACGUGAGUGCAGAAGAGGGAAGUGGAAUUCCAUGUGUAGCGGUGAAAUGCGUAGAGAGAUGGAGGAACACCAGUGGCGAAGGCGGUCUCCUGGUCUGUAACUGACACUGAGGCGCGAAAGCGUGGGGAGCAAACA
rnacentral:rRNA from 1 species